UACGGGGGGAGCAAGCGUUGUUCGGAUUUACUGGGCGUAAAGGGCGCGUAGGCGGUCAGCACAAGUCAGUUGUGAAAUCUCCGAGCUUAACUCGGAAAGGUCAACUGAAACUGUGCGACUAGAGUGCGGAAGGGGCAACUGGAAUUCUUGGUGUAGCGGUGAAAUGCGUAGAUAUCAAGAGGAACACCUGCGGCGAAGGCGGGCUACUGGGCCGAUACUGACGCUGAUGCGCGAAAGCCAGGGGAGCGAACGGG
rnacentral:rRNA from 1 species